GCCAUCUGGCAAUAGGGUUACUCUGCAUAUAGUAUACAGAAGUCAGGAAAUGAUAAGCGGAAUUAAAACAGGAGUAAUUUUCCAAUCCAGAUGCAUAUGAUCCUUUAAUGCUCUUGCAACCCAUCAUUAAGCACCAAAAUCAGCUAACCUGUUGCAGGAACAUCAUAAUAUCACUGCAUGCAUGUCCAACAGAAAGCACAAAA
rnacentral:misc_RNA from 1 species